GGAAUUUUGGACAAUGGGCGCAAGCCUGAUCCAGCCAUGCCGCGUGAGUGAAGAAGGCCUUCGGGUUGUAAAGCUCUUUCGGCGGGGACGACACGGCCCGUGCUAACACCACGGACUAAUGACCGUACUCGCAGAAGAAGCCCCGGCUACCCAAGUGCCAGCAGCCGCGGUAAUACGUCGGGUGCAGGCGUUAAUCGGAAUUACUGGGCGUAAAGCGUGCGCAGGCGGCUCCUUAAGUCAGAUGUGAAAGCCCCGGGCUUAACCUGGGAACUGCGUUUGAAACUGGGGGGCUAGAGUGUGGAAGAGGGGGGUGGAAUUCCAGGUGUAGCAGUGAAAUGCGUAGAGAUCUGGAGGAACACCGAUGGCGAAGGCAGCCCCCUGGGCUAACACUGACGCUCAUGCACGAAAGCGUGGGGAGCAAAC
rnacentral:rRNA from 1 species